rnacentral:rRNA from 1 species
GUCGAGGGGCAGCGAGAUCAGUGCUUGCACUGAUUGUCGGCGACCGGCGCACGGGUGCGUAACGCGUAUGCAACCUACCCAUUACAGGGGGAUAACACUGAGAAAUCGGUACUAAUACCCCAUAACAUCCAGGGAGGCAUCUUCUUGGGUUGAAAACUCCGGUGGUAAUGGAUGGGCAUGCGUUGUAUUAGUUAGUUGGUGGGGUAACGGCUCACCAAGACCACGAUACAUAGGGGGACUGAGAGGUUAACCCCCCACAUUGGUACUGAGACACGGACCAAACUCCUACGGGAGGCAGCAGUGAGGAAUAUUGGUCAAUGGACGCAAGUCUGAACCAGCCAUGCCGCGUGCAGGAAGACGGCUCUAUGAGUUGUAAACUGCUUUUGUACGAGGGUAAACGCAGAUACGCGUAUCUGUCUGAAAGUAUCGUACGAAUAAGGAUCGGCUAACUCCGUGCCAGCAGCCGCGGUAAUACGUAGGUGGCAAGCGUUAUCCGGAUUUACUGGGUGUAAAGGGCGUGUAGGCGGGAAAGCAAGUCAGAUGUGAAAACCAUAGGCUCAACCUGUGGCCUGCAUUUGAAACUGUUUUUCUUGAGUACUGGAGAGGCAGACGGAAUUCCUCGUGUAGCGGUGAAAUGCGUAGAUAUGAGGAGGAACACCAGUGGCGAAGGCGGUCUGCUGGACAGCAACUGACGCUGAGGCGCGAAAGCGUGGGGAGCAAACAGGAUUAGAUACCCUGGUAGUCCACGCUGUAAACGAUGGAUACUAGGUGUGGGGGGACUGACCCCCUCCGUGCCGCAGUUAACACAAUAAGUAUCC